AUAUAUAGAUAAAUUGAUACACAGUUGAUCGAACUUAGUAUUCGCCAGCAUGCAGUAUAUGGUCAGUUGAUAUACACCUAGUAAAAUAUUCAUCUGAUAUCUCAAUAUACACCUCUAAGUAAAAUGAUAAACAAUUUUUAUGAAUUUUUAAGUGCAAAGAUCAGAGAAAAAAGAGAAAAUUGGAAGAGGAGAAAGAGACUCAGGAAGACCUCAUAGAUAG
rnacentral:lncRNA from 1 species